GACGAACGCUUGCGGCGUGCUUAACACAUGCAAGUCGAGCGGUAAGGCCCUUCGGGGUACACGAGCGGCGAACGGGUGAGUAACACGUGGGUGAUCUGCCCUGUACUUCGGGAUAAGCCUGGGAAACUGGGUCUAAUACCGGAUAUGACCUUACAUCGCAUGGUGUUUGGUGGAAAGAUUUAUCGGUACGGGAUGGGCCCGCGGCCUAUCAGCUUGUUGGUGGGGUAAUGGCCUACCAAGGCGACGACGGGUAGCCGGCCUGAGAGGGCGACCGGCCACACUGGGACUGAGACACGGCCCAGACUCCUACGGGAGGCAGCAGUGGGGAAUAUUGCACAAUGGGCGAAAGCCUGAUGCAGCGACGCCGCGUGAGGGAUGACGGCCUUCGGGUUGUAAACCUCUUUCGACAGGGACGAAGCGCAAGUGACGGUACCUGUAGAAGAAGCACCGGCCAACUACGUGCCAGCAGCCGCGGUAAUACGUAGGGUGCGAGCGUUGUCCGGAAUUACUGGGCGUAAAGAGCUUGUAGGCGGUUUGUCGCGUCGUCCGUGAAAACUUGGGGCUCAACCCCAAGCUUGCGGGCGAUACGGGCAGACUUGAGUACUGCAGGGGAGACUGGAAUUCCUGGUGUAGCGGUGAAAUGCGCAGAUAUCAGGAGGAACACCGGUGGCGAAGGCGGGUCUCUGGGCAGUAACUGACGCUGAGAAGCGAAAGCGUGGGUAGCGAACAGGAUUAGAUACCCUGGUAGUCCACGCCGUAAACGGUGGGCGCUAGGUGUGGGUUUCCUUCCACGGGAUCCGUGCCGUAGCUAACGCAUUAAGCGCCCCGCCUGGGGAGUACGGCCGCAAGGCUAAAACUCAAAGGAAUUGACGGGGGCCCGCACAAGCGGCGGAGCAUGUGGAUUAAUUCGAUGCAACGCGAAGAACCUUACCUGGGUUUGACAUACACCGGAAACCUGCAGAGAUGUAGGCCCCCUUGUGGUCGGUGUACAGGUGGUGCAUGGCUGUCGUCAGCUCGUGUCGUGAGAUGUUGGGUUAAGUCCCGCAACGAGCGCAACCCUUGUCCUGUGUUGCCAGCGCGUUAUGGCGGGGACUCGCAGGAGACUGCCGGGGUCAACUCGGAGGAAGGUGGGGACGACGUCAAGUCAUCAUGCCCCUUAUGUCCAGGGCUUCACACAUGCUACAAUGGCCGGUACAGAGGGCUGCGAUACCGUGAGGUGGAGCGAAUCCCUUAAAGCCGGUCUCAGUUCGGAUCGGGGUCUGCAACUCGACCCCGUGAAGUUGGAGUCGCUAGUAAUCGCAGAUCAGCAACGCUGCGGUGAAUACGUUCCCGGGCCU
rnacentral:rRNA from 1 species